GGGCGAUUAGGCUCAGUGGUAGAGCGCCUCGUUCACACCGAGGAAGUCACUGGUUCGAACCCAGUAUCGCCCACC
rnacentral:tRNA from 1 species